AACAAAGUCUCUCAGCGCACAUCUCAGGCAGCUGUGACGUCACCCGCACGCGUCAUAACAAACGGAGCUCUGAGUUUCUCGCGGCGUCCCAAAUAACAAGUACUAUUUGCUGUGUUGUGCUUCGGAUCGAGUGAACGUUGUCGUUUUCGACUGUGCCAAAUAAGCACUGAUCAGAAUUCCACGGAGGUGUUGCAUUCCAAAUUGCAGAGGCAAUUACGGCAAUGGGCCUAAAGUUUCCGUGUUUUAUUUUCCGUCUGAUGAAUCUCUAAGGCGGGAAUGGAUCUCGGCUGUUCACAAGCAAGACUGGGUGCCUAGUAAACAUUCAGUUGUUUGUGAGCAGCAUUUCAACUAACAAGAUACAUUAAGCAGUACAAGUAUGUACGACCCAAGAACUGGCAAACUGUUAACAGUACCAUUUGAUCGUCGACGCUUAAGAAAAGGUUCUAUACCUACAAAGUUACCGGAUGCCCUUGAUAUUUGUCCAAUAUGCCAUCAUCCCGAGAGGACCCCGAAAGUCGCAGGGAGCUACUAGAAAACUGCCCUUCGAGAAAGUGUAGAAACGCAAGAGAAGUUGAUAGAAACGAUUUCUAUCUGUAAUGUCGAGUAGCUGAAACGCAAAAUAAGUGACUGUGAUAAGCAUUGGGACGGGAUUGUAGUUAACAAAUUAGACAGUGAGUGCUUAUUGUUAAUCAACCACAAUCCUAACCCAAGAGUUGUCUGCUAAUGUGUUAUAAACAGUGAUUUAUCUCUAAGUGUUUUUAUUAACGAUGUGGAAUUGAAAUGUGUUGGGAAGAUGAAAUUUUCCAAAACAGUCUGCAACACACGAGAUGUGAGUGAAAAUUUAUUUGGUGUAGCCUAUAAUAAAUAUGAGGUUCCUGUUGA